UGGGGAAUUGUUCACAAUGGGCGCAAGCCUGAUGACGCAACGCCGCGUGGGGGAUGAAGGUCUUCGGAUCGUAAACCCCUGUCGAAUGGGACGAAAGACUCGCGAGUGAAUACUUCGCGAGAGUGACGGUACCGUUAAAGGAAGCCACGGCUAACUCUGUGCCAGCAGCCGCGGUAAUACAGAGGUGGCAAGCGUUGUUCGGAAUUACUGGGCGUAAAGGGCGCGUAGGCGGCCCUCUAAGUCAGACGUGAAAUCCCCCGGCUUAACCUGGGAACUGCGUCUGAUACUGGGGGGCUUGAGUAUGGGAGAGGGAUGUAGAAUUCCAGGUGUAGCGGUGAAAUGCGUAGAUAUCUGGAGGAAUACCGGUGGCGAAGGCGGCAUCCUGGACCAUUACUGACGCUGAGGCGCGAAAGCUAGGGGAGCAAACGGGAUUAGAUACCCGAGUAGUCCCUGAGCGGGCUGGCAAGGCGCAU
rnacentral:rRNA from 1 species